UUCCCUUCGGGGAUGAAAGUUAGUGGCGAACGGGUGAGUAAUGUAUGAGCAACCUGCCUCUGUCAACGGGAUAACAGUUGGAAACGACUGCUAAUACGGUAUAUGACCACGGCACCGCAUGGUGCAGCGGUAAAAGAUUUUAUCGGACAGAGAUGGGCUCAUAACCCAUUAGGUAGUUGGUGAGAUAACAGCCCACCAAGCCGACGAUGGGUAGCCGAGCUGAGAGGCUGAUCGGCCACAUUGGGACUGAAACACGGCCCAGACUCC
rnacentral:rRNA from 1 species